rnacentral:rRNA from 1 species
CGCGAGCGAUCUUUACGGCAAGCAUGGAAGAGCACACGGUGGAUGCCUUGGCACCGAGAGCCGAUGAAGGACGUGGGAAGCUGCGAUAAGCCCUGGUGAGGAGCUAACCAUCCGUCGAACCAGGGAUUUCCGAAUGGGGAAACCCGGCUGGGGUCAUGCCCGGUCAGGCCUGUCUGAAUACAUAGGGCAGGUACAGGGAACCCGGGGAACUGAAACAUCUCAGUACCCGGAGGAAGAGAAAGCAACCGCGAUCCCCUGAGUAGUGGUGAGCGAAAAGGGGUCGAGCCUAAACCGUCGUCGUGUCAAGCUGGCAGGCGUUGCGUCGACGGGGUUGUGGGAGCGUUGUUGAAGGGGCUGUCACCUCUUCGAGGAGUUACAAAUCUCGCAUGUAGCGGAACAGGUUGGAAAGCCUGGCCGUAGACGGUAACAGCCCGGUACGUGAAGCAUGUCGAGACUCCUUUCAACGUUUUCCCGAGUAGGGCGGGGCCCGUGAAAUCCCGUCUGAAUCUGCGAGGACCACCUCGUAAGGCUGAACACUCCUCGGUGACCGAUAGCGGACAAGUACCGUGAGGGAACGGUGAAAAGCACCCCGGGAGGGGAGUGAAAGAGAACCUGAAACCGUGUGCUUACAAACCGUCGGAGCAUGCCCUUGUGGUGUGUGACGGCGUGCCUUUUGAAGAAUGAGCCUACGAGUUAGCCGUCACUGGCAAGGUUAACCUGUUGAGGGGAAGCCGGAGCGAAAGCGAGUCUGAACAGGGCGUUCAGUCGGUGGCGCUAGACCCGAAACCAAGUGAUCUAUCCAUGGCCAGGGUGAAGCGAGGGUAAGACCUCGUGGAGGCCCGAACCGUUGUAGGUUGAAAACUGCUCGGAUGAGCUGUGGAUAGGGGUGAAAGGCCAAUCAAACUUGGUGAUAGCUGGUUCUCCCCGAAAUGCAUCUAGGUGCAGCGUCACGUGUUUCUUGUCGGGGGUAGAGCACUGUUUGGGCUAGGGGGCCUAAAAGCUUACCGAACUCAGGCAAACUCCGAAUACCGACAAGUGAGAGCGUGGCAGUGAGAACGCGGGGGAUAAGCUCCGUGUUCGAGAGGGAAACAACCCAGACCGCCAGCUAAGGUCCCUAAAUCACGACUGAGUGGAAAAGGAUGUGAGGUCGCACAGACAACCAGGAGGUUGGCUUAGAAGCAGCCACCCUUGAAAGAGUGCGUAAUAGCUCACUGGUCAAGUGGCCUUGCGCCGAUAAUGUAACGGGGCUAAGUCGUGUACCGAAGCUGCGGAUCCGACCCAUCAACGUGAAAGCGGGGUCGGGUGGUAGGGGAGCGUCGACGCGCGUGUGAAGCUGCCGGGUUACCGAGUGGUGGAUGCGUGUCGAGUGAGAAUGUAGGCAUGAGUAGCGAAAGGGGAGGGAGGAACUCCCCCGCCGAUUGACCAAGGGUUCCUGGGGAAGGUUCAUCCGCCCAGGGUAAGUCGGGACCUAAGGUGAGGCCGCGAGGCGUAACCGAUGGACAACGGGUUGAUAUUCCCGUACCACCUUCAGCGCGUCUAUACCGAACGUCGUAUGCUAACGGCAUCUACGGAUGUCGGACCCUGCGGCUAGUAGGUCACCGAUGGCGUGACGGAGGAGGCUAGGUGAUCCCGGGCGUUGGUUGUCCCGGGCCAAGCGUGUAGGCCGUGGACCAGGGAAAUCCGGUCCACAUACAGGCUGAGACGUCAUGGGGAACUUCUUGUGAAGUCACCGAUGCCAUGCUCCCAAGAAAAGCGUCUAGGGAGUUCUGAGGGUGCCCGUACCCCAAACCGACACAGGUGGUCAGGUAGAGAAUACCGAGGCGAUCGAGCGAAUUCCGGUUAAGGAACUCGGCAAAUUGGCCCCGUAACUUCGGGAUAAGGGGCGCCACGGCUGGUCAACCACUUCGCGUGGGGYAGCUGGACGUGGCCGCAGUGAUCAGGCCCAAGCGACUGUUUACCAAAAACACAGGAGCGUGCGAACACGUAAGUGGAUGUAUACGCUCUGACGCCUGCCCGGUGCUGGAACGUUAAGCGGAGAGGUCAGACCUUCGGGUCGAAGCUUCGAAGCCAAGCGCCAGUAAACGGCGGCCGUAACUAUAACGGUCCUAAGGUAGCGAAAUUCCUUGUCGGGUAAGUUCCGACCUGCACGAAUGGCGUAACGACUUGGGCACUGUCUCAACCGGAAGCUCGGCGAAAUUGCACCGCGAGUAAAGAUGCUCGCUACGCGCAGCAGGACGGAAAGACCCCGGGACCUUUACUGUAGCUUGGUAUUGGAGCUCGGUACGUCACGUGCAGGAUAGGUGGGAGACUACGAAGCGGACACGCCAGUGUUCGUGGAGUCAUCCUUGGAAUACCACCCUUGACGUGCUGAGUUCCUAACCUCGACCCAUCAUCUGGGUCAGGGACCGUGCCUGGCGGGCAGUUUAACUGGGGCGGUUGCCUCCUAAAAGGUAACGGAGGCGCCCAAAGGUUCCCUCAGACCGGUCGGCAAUCGGUCGUCGAGUGUAAAGGCACAAGGGAGCUUGACUGCGAGACAGACAUGUCGAGCAGGUGCGAAAGCAGGGCUUAGUGAUCCGACGGUGGCAUGUGGAAGCGCCGUCGCUCAACGGAUAAAAGGUACCCCGGGGAUAACAGGCUGAUCUUCCCCAAGAGUCCAUAUCGACGGGAAGGUUUGGCACCUCGAUGUCGGCUCAUCGCAUCCUGGGGCUGGAGCAGGUCCCAAGGGUCGGGCUGUUCGCCCGUUAAAGCGGUACGCGAGCUGGGUUCAGAACGUCGUGAGACAGUUCGGUCCCUAUCCGCUGCGCGCGUUGGUGAUUUGACAGGAGCUGCCCCUAGUACGAGAGGACCGGGGUGGACGUACCUCUGGUGUGCCGGUUGUCCUGCCAAGGGCACGGCCGGUUAGCUACGUACGGACGGGAUAAGCGCUGAAGGCAUCUAAGCGCGAAGCCCACCUGGAGAUGAGAUCACCCACUCCCUCGAGGAGGUAAGGGCCCCAGCCAGACGACUGGGUCGAUAGGCCGGACGUGGAAGCCAGGCAACUGGUGCAGCUGACCGGUACUAAUAGCCCGAGGGCUUGCCG